AGUGGCGGACGGGUGAGUAACGCGUGAGAAUCUGCCCUUAGGAGGGGGACAACACUGGGAAACUGGUGCUAAUACCCCAUAUGCCGAGAGGUGAAAUAUGUUUUGCCUGAGGAUGAGCUCGCGUCAGAUUAGCUAGCUGGUGAGGUAAGAGCUCACCAAGGCGACGAUCUGUAGCUGGUUUGAGAGGAUGAUCAGCCACACUGGGACUGAGACACGGCCCAGACUCCUACGGGAGGCAGCAGUGGGGAAUUUUCCGCAAUGGGCGAAAGCCUGACGGAGCAAGACCGCGUGCGGGAUGACGGCCUGUGGGUUGUAAACCGCUUUUCUCUAGGAAGAAGAUCUGACGGUACUAGAGGAAUAAGCCUCGGCUAACUCCGUGCCAGCAGCCGCGGUAAUACGGAGGAGGCAAGCGUUAUCCGGAAUUAUUGGGCGUAAAGCGUCCGUAGGUGGCGAUUCAAGUCUGCUGUCAAAGCCCGGGGCUUAACCCUGGAGAGGCAGUGGAAACUGAGUAGCUAGAGUAUGGUAGGGGUAGAGGGAAUUCCCAGUGUAGCGGUGAAAUGCGUAGAUAUUGGGAAGAACACCGGUGGCGAAAGCGCUCUACUGGGCCAUAACUGACACUGAUGGACGAAAGCUAGGGGAGCGAAAGGGAUUAGAUACCCCUGUAGUCCUAGCCGUAAACGAUGGAUACUAGGUGUU
rnacentral:rRNA from 1 species